AAGUCGUAACAAGGUUUCCGUAGGUGAACCUGCGGAAGGAUCACUAGUGAUUAAAUCGAGAGCGUCUUCAUUGACCUCUCACCCUUCACAUCCACAUACACCUGUGCACCGUUUGGCUCUUAUAAAAGACGCAAGUCUGCAAUGAGAGUCAUCAAUUUUUAUACAUACCCCAGUCUUAUGAAUGUAACAGUUUUAAUAAACAUAAUAAAACUUUUAACAACGGAUCUCUUGGUUCUC
rnacentral:misc_RNA from 1 species